UACGUAGGGUGCGAGCGUUAAUCGGAAUUACUGGGCGUAAAGUGUGCGCAGGCGGCCGAGCAAGUCGAGUGUGAAAGCCCCCGAGCUUAACUUGGGAACUGCGCUCGAAACUACUUGGCUAGAGUGUGGCAGAGGGAGGUGGAAUUCCGACGUGUAGCGGUGAAAUGCGUAGAGAUGUGGAGGAACACCGAUGGCGAAGGCAGCCUCCUGGGCCAACACUGACGCUCAUGCACGAAAGCGUGGGGAGCAAACAGG
rnacentral:rRNA from 1 species